UGUUGAAAAAUUAGCGGAUGACUUGUGGCUAGGGGUGAAAGGCCAAUCAAACCUGGAGAUAGCUGGUUCUCCCCGAAAGCUAUUUAGGUAGCGCCUCGGACGAAUACUACUGGGGGUAGAGCACUGUUAAGGCUAGGGGGUCAUCCCGACUUACCAACCCUUUGCAAACUCCGAAUACCAGUAAGUACUAUCCGGGAGACACACGGCGGGUGCUAACGUCCGUCGUGGAGAGGGAAACAACCCAGACCGCCAGCUAAGGUCCCAAAGUAUAGCUAAGUGGG
rnacentral:rRNA from 1 species